AUUGAACGCUAGCGGCAUGCCUAACACAUGCAAGUCGAACGGAGUGGCGGACGGGUGAGCAAUAUAUCGGCACGUGGGCAGUAGCGGGGGCUAACUACUCGAAAGAGUGGCUACUUCCGCUUACUAUUGGAGCGGCCGAUUUCGGUUUAGCUAGUUGGUGGGGUAAAGGCUCACCAAGGCAACGAUCCUUAGCUGGUCUGAGAGGACGACCGGCCACACUGGGACUGAGACACGGCCCAGACUCCUACGGGAGGCAGCAGUGGGGAAUUUUGGACAAUGGGGGAAACCCUGAUCCAGCCAUGCCGCGUGUGUGAAGAAGGUCUUCGGGUUGUAAAGUACUUUUGGCAGAGAAGCGGUAUCUGCAGAAUAAGCACCGGCUAACUACGUGCCAGCAGCCGCGGUAAUUC
rnacentral:rRNA from 1 species